rnacentral:snoRNA from 1 species
GAUGCAGUAAUUCUUACCCACCAGUCCUCCUUCUGGUGGGCAGACCAGGACAUGAUCACUGGAGUUCCCAUAAUAUGUGGUUAACUUCUCUACAUAAUCAGGAAUUGCAAUUCCCUAAUGACUCCUAUCUGAU